UUCAUGCCGUGAAGCUUUGCGUUUUUCUUAUAUAGGUGAGGGCUUGUGUGAGUUGUAUGUGUAGAGAAAAUGGAGAAAAUAUACAGAAAGGUACCCAGUAAAAAGAAAGGGGCAGGCCAGCUAUCAAGCCCAUGAACUUCUACUUGCAAAUCAGAUCAUCCUAAGGCAACCAAGCCCGUUACAAAUUAGGGUAACCAGGGGUAAUACGCACCCCUGAGGCAAAACGCCUUCACGUUCUGUCAUUAUAUAAUUGAAGUUUUUUUAGAUGCAAGCAAACUAGACGCAAAAUUGAGACGGUCAAGCCCAAAAAUGACACAAACAUUCGAAUGAAAAGCGUGGAAAACGAUGAUUUUCCACAUUUGGAAAGAUUUUCUAAGUUAAAACGCACGAAAUUUAAGCAAUUGAACGCAGACUCUAUGGAACCAAACCAUUAACUACCAUCCGCCUCCUUCACCUUCCAUUGCAGCGGUAAAUAGCUAGAUGGAGCCCCAUGGUAUUUCAUAAGAAUUCAAAGCGGAAAAUGCCAGAGGUCCUUUUGUCCUACCUAAAGGUGCGCAAGACAUCUAAAAAUCCUCUUAAUAUUCGUUAUUUGACCACGUUUGCUUAGGGGGUGCGUAUUAUACCACCUUCUCCUAUGUUACUGUAGGAUACAAAAUACAAAAUAAACAAAAAUAGUUCACUUUCAUGAAGGACACAACUUGAAAUUCUGCCUUUAAGUACAUUGUUAACUGAUCCGGUCCGAUAGGUUACAUAUUUUUUGUUACCAUACAAAACUACAAGCCACUUCGCAGGGAUACUUCCCGCUCAGACUGAUUUCUACUUGUCGAGUUCAAGUCUACCUAGUCUAGACACCUCCGUUUUUUUUUACCAUGGACUUUCACCUGGUGUUCAACUUGGCUAGGAUAUUGACGUUUGUUUUCGCCUCGACGUCCAUCAGCGACACAAGCGAGAGAAACUUCAUUUUUUUUUUCUUAAGAGCCGCAUGGUUGUUGACUCGCUUGUUGCAGAUAGUUUUCUAGUUUUAAGUGUAAAAAUUACAUAAUUUUAAUAAAAUUCUGGUGUGGAACCAAUGAAAUUCGGCUUUGAGCUGGACUUUGUUUGCCGGCAAGUUGUGCUGCUAUCUCGGCUGCUAUACAGUGCGAUGCGAUUUAUAAACCGGUGGAUAAGCAGAAUACGAUUUCCGAUUCGAAAAGCAAAAAUAUCCUGCAUCUCGCUGGAAACCUACACAGCACUGAAUCUUGGACGAUGAUGAAGGUCUGGAUGACGAGAAAGAAGGGCAUCUUGCAAAACGACGACAAUCUAUGACUAUUCGGAGUGCAUUCGACGGAUUCAUACGGUCAACGAGGCAGCCAAACGAAAAAGGAUACUGUUCCGCCAGGGGAUACGUCGAUAUGCGUACGGACUGCAGGAUAAACAGUAUCUGGAGGAGCAAAGUACCCCUUCUUCGAAACCACCGGAUCCUGUCGAACCCGCUCCAUAAGAGGAUGAUCCUGAUGCCAUUAUGUCCGCUAUUCCUUUAUCAAUGAUAAUACUUUUGGCAGCACACCACCAUCAGUCGAUACUUGCUGCUCCAGAAGUUUGAUCUCAGCGGUCGAGUCCGGCUGCGGAUCGAUCGAAUCAAGUUAUUGUUCGAUUGGGUUUUGGUAAGUUUUUGGAGAAGCUGAGAAAACAGCUGUUUCAUGUUUAAUUAUUUUUUAAGCAAAUUGUUAUCAUUCUUCUUCUUGGCGUAACGUCCCAACUGGGACAAUGCCUGCUUCUCAGCUUCUAUGUUCUAUGAGCAUGCAAAGCUCCCUCUGCCAAUGACCACAUUUUUGCAUGUGUAUAUCGUGUGCCAGGCACGACGAUAUUCUGCCCAAGGAAGUCAAUGAAAUUUCCUUUACGAAAAGUUCCUAGAUCGAACGGGAAUCAAAUCCGUCACCCUCAGCAUGGUCUCGCUGAACACCCGCAUCGACCAUAUGAUCCCAACAGCAAAUUUAGUUGGCCACCCCUCCCCUUCCAGGAGAUUGAGUCCAACGGAUAGUUUAUAGUACUAGCCUGAACCCAAUCUUCCAGGGGAGAGAUAUCAACAUAAGGCGAUAGCUAAUGGUACCAAUAGAUAGUACUCAUGUACGGUCCCCCCUUUUAUUUUGAAGAAGUUCUUCUUCUUGGCGUUACAUCCCAACUGGAACAGAGCCAGCUUCUCUGCUGUUUUGCCAAUGACCAUGUUCCUUCUGUAGGUCGUGUGGCAGGUAUUAUUAUAUGAUGGUGCUAAAGGAAGUCAAGGAUAUUCCGUAACGAAAAGAUCCUGGACCGUCCGAUAAUCAAAUCCGUCACCCGCAGCAUCGUUUUGCUGAAUAUCCGACAAGGCUACCUAUAUAGGUAUGCCAAGUUUUCGAAAGUGUACUUUGAAUCAAUGAGUUUUACGGCUAUCGUGUACAAUUCCAUGGAUGUGUCCUUAAACUUAAUGCCCUUUACCGGAUUGCUACCGGACUGGUAUUUCUGUUGAUACUACUAGUUGAUAUGUAUAGGAACUCCCGUGGCAAUUGCCACGUUAUAGCCAUCAUUAUUAACAUCAACUGCUUUCGAUAAAUGAUUGAGGAUUUACAAAAAAACAUCUCAAUAUUUUACGAGAAGGUACUGACUUCUAAGAAUGAUAGAGGACAUUUUUAAUAACAUUUAGAAUGUUAUUAAUAUUAUUACUAUUUGUUAACGGAACUUCACCAUUAUUGUAGCAUGCGUGUCAAAUUUAGAAUGUAUCCAAGGAAUUUUUGAUAAUCUUUGCGAAUUUUCAAAAAUCAUUUAAAACAUUUGGGAUGUAUCACAGGUAAUUCGGAUUCCUAUAAAUGAUUAAGAAUAUUUUCUAUAGUUUUUAGAAUACAUCCCAGAUGUCUGGAAAUUUCUGAGUCUUUAGAGAUUCUCACGAAUUAUUUAAAUAUAUUCCAUGAUGCUACGGAAUCCUAUAAUUUCUGAUAAUUUUUAAGGAUUCUCAGGAAUUAAUUUAAUAUUAUUACUGAUGCUACGGAUUCCUAAUAAAGGAUUGAGAUUUUUUUCUAUACUUUUUAGAAUAUUUUCCAGAUUACUGAAAAUUUCUGACAAUCUUGGGGGAUUCUCAGGAAUUAUUUAAAUAUAUUAUUUACUGAUGCUACGAAUUCCUAUAAAAGAUUGAGAAUCAUUUCUAUACUUUUUAAAGAAUUUUUCAGAUCACUCAACGUUUUUGAGAAUGUCUCAGGAAUUAUUUCAAUAUAUUUAGUGAUGCAACGGAUUCCCAUAAACCAUUGAAAAUAUUUUCUAUAGUUUUUAGAAUACAUCCCAAAUUACUGGGAAUUUCUGAGAAUCUUUAGGGAUUCUCAGGAGCUAUUUUCGUAUUUUUAGUGAUGCUACGGAUUCACAUAAAUGAUUGAGAAUAAUUUCUAUAGUUUUUAGAAUACUUUCCAAAUCACUGGAAAUUUCUGAUAAUCUUUAGGGAUUCUCAGGAAUUAUUUUAAUAUAUUUAGUGAUGCUACCGAUUCACAUAAAAGAUUGAGAAUAUUUUCUAUAGUUUUCAGAAUAUAUCCCAAAUCAAUAUCUGAAAAUUUCUGAUAAUCUUUAGGGAUUCUUAGGAAUUAUUUUCAUAUAGGGUGACAAUGGGUAUUAUCGGCAGGUUUGUUCUCUUCGUCAUGGGGGGUUUUUGUCAGCCAAAUUGCCUGAAACUUGGCAAUAUAGUUUAACUUAGUUGGGAAGGAUUUGAGACCAACUCUGAGUUCAAUAUGCUUCAAAAAACCCCCUAAGACGAAGAGAACAAAACGGCCGAGAAUAGGCAAUUUCCCCUAUUUAGUGAUGCUACUGAUUCCUAUAAAUGAUUGAUAAUUUUUUCUAUAGGUUUUAGAAUACUUUCCAGAUUACUGGGAAUCUUAAGGAAUUCUCAAGAAUUAUUUAAAUGUAUUACUGAUUCCUAUAAAGUUUUAAAAUACUUUGCAGAUCACUGGAAAUUUCUGAGAAUCUGUAGGGACUCUCAGAAAUUAUUUAAAUAUAUUUACUGAUUCUACGGAUUCCUUAUAAAUGAUGGAGAAUUUUUUCUAUACUUUUUUAAAUAUUUUCCACAUUACUGAAAAUUUCUGAGAAUCUUGAGGGAUUCUCAGGAGUUAUUCAAAUAUAUUCCGUGAUAUUACCGAUUACUAUAAAUAAUUGAGAUUAUUUUAUAGUUUUAAAAAUACAUCCCACAUAACUGGGAAUUUUUGAGAAUCUUAAGAGAUUCUCAGAAAUUAUUUAAAUAUACAUACAUAUUCUGUUAUGCUACGGAUUCCUAUAAAUGAUUGAGAAUAUUUUCUAUAGUUUUUAGAAUACUUUUCAGAUCACUGGAAAUUUCUUAGAAUCUUAAGGGAUUCUCAGGAAUUAUUUAAAUAUAUUCUGUUAUGCUACGGAUUCCUAUAAAUCAUCGAGAAUAUUUUCUAUAGUUUUCAGAAAACAUCCCAAAACACUUGUAAUUUCUAAGAAUCUUUAGGGAUUCUCAGGAGCUAUUUUCAUAUUUUUAGUGAUGCUACGGAUUCCUGUAAAUGAUUGAGAAUAAUUUCUACAGUUUUUAGAAUACUUUCCAAAUCAUUGGAAAUUUCUGAUCUUUAGGGAUUCACAGGAAUUAUUUCAAUAUAUUUAAUGAUGCUACGGAUUCCUAUGAACGAUUAAGAAUAAUUUCUAUAGUUUUUAGAAUACAUUCCAGCUCACUGAUAAUUUCUGAUAAUCUUUAGUGAUUCUCAGGAAAUAUUCCAAUAUAUUUAGUGAUGCUACGGAUUCCUAUAAAUGGUUGAGAAUAUUUUCUAUAGGUUUUAAAAUACUUUUCAGAUCACUGAAAUUUUCUGAUAAUCUUUAGGGAUUCUCAGGAGCAAUCUUCAUAUUUUUGGUGAUGCUACGGAUUCCUAUAAAUGGUUGAGAAUAUUUUCUAUUGUUUUCAGAAUACAUCCCAAAUCACUGGGAAUAUCUGAGAAUCUUUAGGGAUUCUCAGAAAUUAUUUAAAUAAAUUCCGUGUUAUUACUGAUUCCUAUAAAUGAUUGAGAAUAUUUUCUAUAGGUUUUAAAAUACUUUUCAGAUCACUGAAAUUUUCUGAUAAUCUUUAGGGAUUCUCAGGAGCUAUCUUCAUAUUUUUGGUGAUGCUACGGAUUCCUGUAAAUGAUUGAGAAUAAUUUCUAUAGUUUUUGAAAUACUUUCCAAAUCACUGAUAAUCUCCGAUAAUCUUUAGGGAUUCUCAGGAAUUGUUCCAAUAUAUUUGGUGAUGCUACGGAUUCCUAUAAAUGAUUGAGAAUAUUUUCUAAUGUUUUCAGAAUACUUCCCAAAUCACUGGGAAUAUCUGAGAGUCUUUAGGGAUUCUCAGGAAUUAUUCAAAUAUAUUCCGUUAUAUUACUGAUUCCUAUAAAUGAUUGAGAAUAUUUUCUAUCGAUUUUAAAAUACUUUUCAGAUCACUGAAAUUUUCUGAUAAUCUUUAGGGAUUCUCAGGAGCUAUUUUCAUAUUUUUGGUGAUGCUACGGAUUCCUAUAAAUGAUUGAGAAUAUUUUCUAUACUUUUUGGAAUACUUUACAGAUCACUGGAAAUCUCUGAAAAUCUUUAGGAAUCCUCAAGAAUUAUUUAAAUAUAUUACUGAUUCCUAUAAAUAAUCUAUAUAAAUAAACAUAGAAUGGUGUUUGUAUGUCACGAAUAGUAAAAAAUUUUUUUCAGUAUCGCAUUUGUGCAAGGCUCCGACGUGUUUGUACGGAAAAUAAUUAUAAAAUUCGACCGGGAAAGUAAUGGAAACGGGGAAAUAAGAAACUUCAUUUUCGGGGCUUUUUCCCACCGACCCACAUGUCAAAAAACGUUGUAGGCAGGCAGUACGACGUUUGCCGGGACAGCUAGUUAAGAAUAUUUUCUAUUGUUUUAAGAGUACAUCCCAGAUGACUGGGAAUUUCCGAAAUUUUCUCAGAGAUUCUCAGGAAUUAUUUAAAUAUACGGAUUCACAUAAAUGAUUGAGUAUAUUUUCUAUAGUUUUUAGAAUACUUUCCAGAUCACUGGGAAUUUCUGAGAGUCUCUAGGGAUGAAGAAUGAAGCUGUUCACUUCUACAAAUUGUUGAGAAUAUUUUCUAUACUUGUUGGAAUAAAUUCCAGAUGACUGGGAAUUUCUGAGAAUCUUAAGGGAUUUUCAGGAAUUAUUUUAAUAUUUUUCUGUGAAGCUAUUCACUUCUACAAAUUGUUGAGAAUAUUUUCUAUACUUGUUAGAAUAAAUUUCAGAUGACUGGGAAUUUCUGAGAAUCUCUAGAGAUUCUCAGGAAUUAUUCUAAUAUCUUUCGUAAUUCUAAUUUCUAAAAAUGAUUGAGAAUAUUUUCUGUAGUUCCUGGAAUACAUCUCAGAUAACUGGGAAUUUCUUAGAAUCUCUAGGGAUUCUCAGGAAUUAUUUUAAUAUUUUCCAUUAUUCUUCUAGUUUCUAAAAAUGAUUGAGAAUAUUUUCUGCAGUUCCUAGAAUACAUACCAGUUGACUGGGAAUUUCUAAGAAUCUUAAGGGAUUUUCAGGAAUUAUUUAAAAAAAUUUUGUGAAGCUAUUCACUUCUACAAAUUGUUGAGAAUAUUUUCUAUACGUGUAAGAAUAAAUUCCAGAUGACUGGGAGUUUCUGAGAAUCUUUAGGAAUUUUCAGGAAUUAUUUAAAUAUUUUUCCGUAAAGCUAUUCACUUCUACAAAUUGUUGAGAAUAUUUUCUAUACUUGAUAGAAUAAAUUCCAGAUGACUGGGAAUUUCUGAGAAUCUCUAGAGAUUCUCAGGAAUUAUUUUAAUAUUUUUCGUAAUUCUAAUUUCUAAAAAUGAUUGAGAAUAUUUUCUGUAGUUCCUAGAAUACAUCACAGAUGACUGGAAAUUUCUGAGAAUCUCUAGGGAUUCUCAAGAAUUAUUUUAAUAUUUUUCGUUAUUCUUCUGAUUUCUAAAAAUGAUUGAGAAUAUUUUCUGCAGUUCCUAGAAAACGUCUCAGAUAACUAGGAUUUUCUGAGAGUCUCUAGGGAUUCUCAGGAAUUAUUUUAAUAUUUUUCGUUAUUCUUCUGUUUUCUAAAAAUGGUUGAGAAUAUUUUCUGCAGUUCCCAGAAUACAUUUUAGAUGACUGGGAAUUUCUGAGAAACUCUAGAGAUUCUCAGGAAUUAUUUUAAUAUCUUUCGUAAUUCUAAUUUCUAAAAAUGUUCGAGAAUAUUUUCUGCAGUACCUAGAAUACAUCUCAGAUGACUGGGAAUUUCUGAGAGUCGCUAGGGAUUCUCAGGAAUUAUUUUAAUAUUUUUCGUUAUUCGUCUGAUUUCUAAAAAUGAUUGAGAAUAUUUUCUGUAGUUCCUAGAAUACGUCUCAGAUAACUGGGAAUUUCUGAGAGUCUCUAGGGAUUCUCAGGAAUUAUUUUAAUAUUUUUCGUUAUUCUUCUGUUUUCUAAAAAUGGUUGAGAAUAUUUUCUGCAGUUCCUAGAAUACAUCUUAGAUGUCUGGGAAUUUCUGAGAAACUCUAGAGAUUCUCAGGAAUUAUUUGAUUAUCUUUCGUAAUUCUAAUUUCUAAAAAUGUUCGAGAAUAUUUUCUGCAGUACCUAGAAUACAUCUCAGAUGACUGGGAAUUUCUGAGAGUCUCUAGGGAUUCUCAGGAAUUAUUUUAAUAUUUUUCGUUAUUCGUCUGAUUUCUAAAAAUGAUUGAGAAUAUUUUCUGUAGUUCCUAGAAUACGUCUCAGAUAACUGGGAAUUUCUGAGAGUCUCUAGGGAUUCUCAGGAAUUAUUUUAAUAUUUUUCGUUAUUCUUCUGUUUUCUAAAAAUGGUUGAGAAUAUUUUCUGCAGUUCCUAGAAUACGUCUCAGAUAACUGGGAAUUUCUGAGAGUCUCUAGGGAUUCUCAGGAAUUAUUUUAAUAUUUUUCGUUAUUCUUCUGUUCUCUAAAAAUGGUUGAGAAUAUUUUCUGCAGUUCCUAGAAUACAUCUUAGAUGACUGGGAAUUUCUGAGAAACUCUAGAGAUUCUCAGGAAUUAUUUUAAUAUCUUUCGUAAUUCUAAUUUCUAAAAAUGUUCGAGAAUAUUUUCUGCAGUACCUAGAACAGGGUGUCUACUCAUAACUCAAAAUAAAAUUCCCUGAGUUUUCCAGGUUAUUCCAGAUGAAAUAUUUAAAGUUUAUAAUUAAAAAAAUAACCCAAAUCUAAUUUUUAGAAAAUUUGGGUUAUUUUUUCAAUUAUGUCGGCCAAAUUGCCUGAAACUUGAUCAUAUUCAAUUUUAAAGCAGGAUUUGAUGCCAACUCUGAGUUCAACAGGUUUCAAUAAAAAACCAUGACGAAGAGAACAAAACUGCCGAAAAUACGUAAGUUUCCCUACUCUUCGAAAAUUCUUUCAAGAUUUCUGAGCAUAAUUCCUGAAAUUUCUUCCAAAGUUCUUCCUGGCUUUCCGCAGGAUUCUUUCACAUGAGAUAUCUGUACGUCCCGAUAUUUCUUGCAAAGGUUUUCCGAUAUACUUCUAAAGAUUCUCGCUAGAUUCCUCCUGAAGAUUCAUCCAAAACUAUUCAAAGUUUCUUCAAGAAUGUCAUUGGUUGAACCUCGUAGCCAUUCGGUUAGAGUCCGGAUGGAUGAGGGUUCGAUUCGCGCUCCAAGCGAUUAAAUAUUUCACGAGAAUAGCUUCUUAUCCGUAGCCACUCCGUGUUAAGUUUCGUUCAAUCGGUACAGCCGCCGGCUGAAGCCAGUGUCCAUGUCUUUUUUAGUGGUUUUCCGGGACAGCUAUCCAUAAACUAUUGGAUUUUUACCAAUAGUUUUCCGAUAUUCCUCUUGUUUUCCUCGUGGAAUUUCGUCCGCAGCUGCUUUCAGGAUUCCAUGAGGUUUUCAGAAUUCCUCCUAGGAUGUCCUUAAUAUUUCUUCUCGGGAUUACUAUUAUCUAGAACUAUUUUCGAGAUCUCUCAUUUUUUUCUCCGGUUUUUCCUGAAGUUCCUGUCGAGAUUUCUUCAAUAACACUUUGCGGAGUUUCUCGCAAGAUUUUAUUUGAAUUCCCUCGAAUAUUUCUCCAUGAAUAUCCUAUAAGGUAUUUCGUAAGUUAUCCCAGGAGACAUUCUGAGGAUAACCCGUAGAAGAAUCCCUGCAAUUACUUUGGGAGAAAUCCCCAAAGGAGUAUUCAGAAGCUCGGGAGAAUUUCUGGUAAAGAUUCCGGGAAGAAUUUUGGGAAUAAUGCUCAGAAUAUCUGUAAAACCUCUCAGGUUGAUCACUGCAAGAAAUCCGUUACAACUACAAGAAACAGCCUGGCUCUGGAAGAAUGCAAGAGAAGAAUGCAAUAAGAAAAAUCAGCAAUAACUCCUGUAAAUAUCCCAGAAGGCACUCUGGAAAAAAAUCUUAGGAGAAAAUCCAGGGUAAGUUAAGAAAAAACUCUGAGAGACAUCUCAUGACCAACAUCGGAAGGAACCUUCUGAGAGAAGUUCGAGGAGAUACUCCGAGAAAAACCUCAGGUAAAACUUCAAAAUAAACCUCGCAAAAACUUUUAACAAAUUCCUGUAGAAGACCAGGAAGAACAUCUCGAAGAAAGGCAAAAGCAAUGGUUUGAAGAUAUAACAGGAAAAAAAUGAAAGAAAUCUCUUGAGGAACUCUUGCAGUAAAUUCGUGAAAACUUCUACAGAAACCCUUGGAGGAACUUUAGUAGAAACCCCAGUAAUAACUGCUUUAGCAACUGUGAAAGAAAUUCUGUGAAGAUCUUCUGGGGAAGCCCCAAGAGGAACAGCGGAAGGAAUUGGGUAAAAUUUCCGUGAGGAGUGCCGAAAGAAAUUCCACGAUUUAUCCCGACAGAUACUCCUAUAGAGUAUUCGGGAUAAAUUCUGGUAGGAAUCCUAUAGAGAUUUCUUUAAGAAAAACACUGGAGGAACUCUGAGAAGAAAUAGCAUCCCCGUGAAAAACACCAGUAGAAAUCGGUUGGAAUUCAGGAAUCCUGGAAGAAUUCCGGAAGUAUACCUUUCCGGAAAAAAAUCAGAAAGGAAUACCAAGAAAAAUAGCGUCAAAAAUGCGGAAGGAAUUUUAUAAGAAAUCCUUGGAGACAUUCCAGGAAGUAUUUUUAAAGAAGUUCCAGAAAAAAAAUCUGACGGAAUUUCCGGAAAAAAAAUCCUUGUAGCGAAAUUUCUAUAUGGAUUUUUACUACCAGGUUCAUACGACCCAAUGUUUUUUUUUAUCGGAGUAAAAUUUCCCUGAGUACUCAAGAAAUUCCCUGAGUAUUCCAGGUUUUUCCCUGUUAAAUAAAAUUCCCUGAGGAUUCCCGGUUUUCCAGGUUUUUCCAGGUAGUAGACACCCUGUAGAAUACAUCUCAGAUGACUGGGAAUUUCUGAGAGUCUCUAGGGAUUCUCAGGAAUUAUUUUAAUAUUUUUCGUUAUUCGUCUGAUUUCUAAAAAUGAUUGAGAAUAUUUUCUGUAGUUCCUAGAAUACAUCUCAGAUGACUGGGAAUUUCUGAGAAACUCUAGAGAUUCUCAGGAAUUAUUUUAAUAUCUUUCGUAAUUUCAAUUUCUAAAAAUGUUCGAGAAUAUUUUCUGCAGUUCCUAGAAUACAUCUCAGAUGACUGGGAAUUUCUGAGAAUCUCUAGGGAUUCUCAAGAAUUAUUUUAAUAUUUUUCGUUAUUCUUCUGAUUUCUAAAAAUGAUUGAGAAUAUUUUCUGCAGUUCCUAGAAUACAUCUCAAAUGACAGAGAAUUUCUGAGAAUCUCUAGGGAUUCUCAGGAAUUAUUUUAAUAUCUUUCGUAAUUCUAAUUUUUUAAAAUGAUUGAGAAUAUUUUCUGCAGUUCCUAGAAUACAUCUCACAUAACUGGGAAUUUCUGAGAAUCUCUAGAGAUUCUCAUGAAUUAUUUAAGUGUUUUUCUGUGAAGCUAUUCACUUCUACAAAUUGUUGAGAAUAUUUUCUAUACUUGUUAGAAUAAAUUCCAGAUGACUGGGAAUUUCUGAGAAUCUCUAGAGAUUCUCAGGAAUUAUUUUAAUAUUUUCCGUUAUUCUUCUAGUUUCUAAAAAUGAUUGAGAAUGUUUUCUGCAGUUCCUAGAAUACAUCCCAGAUGACUGGGAAUUUCUGAGAAUCUUUAGGAUUUUUCAGGAAUAAUUUAAAUAUUUUUCCGUGAAGCUAUUCACUUCUACAAAUUGUAGAGAAUAUUUUCUAUACUUGUUAGAUUGAAUUCCAGAUGACUGGAAAUUUCUGAGAAUCUCUAGGGAUUCUCAGGAAUUAUUUUAAUAUUUUCCGUUAUUCUUCUAGUUUCUAACAAUGAUUGAGAAUAUUUUCUGCAGUUCCUAGAAUACAUCUCAGAUAACUGGGAAUUUCUGAGAAUCUCUAGAGAUUCUCAGGAAUUAUUUAAAGAAAAAAGUGAAGAGACCGCUUUUUUCAUUUGGGCCGGCCGCGUCGUCGUCGCCGAUUUGACUGUGCUCAUCUUCGUACGGGGCGGUUUAGUGUUAUUUUGGUGGCGAAGUGAAGAGGCCGUUUUUUUUUCAUUCAGACCGGCCGCGUCGUCGUCGUCGUCAAUUUGAAUGUGCACAUCGUCGUACCCGUGUAUAGUUGUAGCCUUUCAGUGUGAUUUCGGAGAAGAGGCCUGUUAGUGGAAGAUGCUGCAGCACAUACGCACUGGACACUUCGAAGGAUGUUUAUUGGUGAGCUCUUUCCAUGUUAUCAUAAUAAUUAAUGCUAAAGGAUGUAUAAAAUUCUGCUCUGGUUUUUGUGUAUUUAUCUAACUAAUAUUGAAAAGUUCGUCACGUCAUGUGUCGCGCUAGUUUUCAAUGCACAUUCAGUUGAUAAUAAAUAUUUUUCUUUUAUUUUUCGCAUUUACACACAAAUUUGAAUGGUUCGUCAUCUUCGGUGUCGACAUUUGUAAUACUUUAGUCAAAAUGAAUAAAUGUUUUGACUCAAGUAAAGGUUGCAUGAAUCAAAU